rnacentral:misc_RNA from 1 species
UCCGGUUUGUCACCGGCAGUCUCAUUAGAGUGCCCAACUAAAUGUAGCAACUAAUGACAAGGGUUGCGCUCGUUGCGGGACUUAACCCAACAUCUCACGACACGAGCUGACGACAGCCAUGCAGCACCUGUGCAAGCUCCCCUUGCGGGGUCGUCCCUCUUUCAAGGUUCUACCACUUACAUGUCAAGGCCAGGUAAGGUUCUUCGCGUUGCAUCGAAUUAAGCCACAUACUCCACCGCUUGUGCAGGCCCCCGUCAAUUUCUCUGAGUUUUAAUCUUGCGACCGUACUUCCCAGGCGGCACGUUUAGCGCGUUGGCUACGCCACAAGAGGGGUCGAAUCCUCUUACAGCAAACGUGCACCGUUUACGGCUAGGACUAC